rnacentral:rRNA from 1 species
AGGAUGAACGCUGGCGGUAUGCUUAACACAUGCAAGUCGAACGGAAGACUUCGGUCUUUAGUGGCGGACGGGUGAGUAACGCGUGAGAAACUGCCUUCUGGUUUGGGACAACAGUUGGAAACGACUGCUAAUACCGAAUGUGCCGAGAGGUGAAAGCUUUAGUGCCAGAAGAAGUGCUCGCGUCAGAUUAGCUAGUAGGAGAGGUAACGGCUCCCCUAGGCGACGAUCUGUAGCUGGUCUGAGAGGAUGAUCAGCCACACUGGGACUGAGACACGGCCCAGACUCCUACGGGAGGCAGCAGUGGGGAAUUUUCCGCAAUGGGGGCAACCCUGACGGAGCAAUACCGCGUGAGGGACGAAGGUUCUUGGAUUGUAAACCUCUUUUCUCAGGGAAGAACACAAUGACGGUACCUGAGGAAUAAGCAUCGGCUAACUCUGUGCCAGCAGCCGCGGUAAUACAGAGGAUGCAAGCGUUAUCCGGAAUUAUUGGGCGUAAAGCGUCCGCAGGUGGCGAUAUAAGUCAGUUGUUAAAGCGCAAGGCUCAACCUUGUAAAGGCAAUUGAAACUGUAUAGCUAGAGUGUGGUAGGGGUAGCGGGAAUUCCUAGUGUAGCGGUGAAAUGCAUAGAUAUUAGGAAGAACACCAGCGGCGAAAGCGCGCUACUGGGCCAUAACUGACACUGAGGGACGAAAGCUAGGGGAGCGAAAGGGAUUAGAUACCCCUGUAGUCCUAGCCGUAAACGAUGAACACUAGGUGUUGCGCGUAUCGACCCGUGCAGUGCCGUAGCCAACGCGUUAAGUGUCCGC